rnacentral:rRNA from 1 species
GAUGAACGCUAGCGGCAGGCUUAACACAUGCAAGUCGAGGGGUAGGUUACUUCGGUAACUGAGACCGGCGCACGGGUGCGUAACGCGUAUACAAUCUACCUUUUACAGAGGGAUAGCCCAGAGAAAUUUGGAUUAAAUACCUCAUAGUAUUUUCGGAUCGCAUGAUUUGAUUAUUAAAGUUCCAACGGUAAAAGAUGAGUAUGCGUCCCAUUAGCUAGAUGGUAAGGUAACGGCUUACCAAGGCAACGAUGGGUAGGGGUCCUGAGAGGGAGAUCCCCCACACUGGUACUGAGACAGGACCAGACUCCUACGGGAGGCAGCAGUGAGGAAUAUUGGA